GACGAACGCUGGCGGCGUGCUUAACACAUGCAAGUCGAACGGAAAGGCCCUUCGGGGUACUCGAGUGGCGAACGGGUGAGUAACACGUGGGUGAUCUGCCCUGCACUUUGGGAUAAGCCUGGGAAACUGGGUCUAAUACCGGAUAGGACCAAGCGAUGCAUGUCGUGUGGUGGAAAGCUUUGGCGGUGUGGGAUGGGCCCGCGGCCUAGCAGGUUGUUGGUGAGGUUACGGCUCACCAAGGCGACGACGGGUAGCCGGCCUGAGAGGGUGACCGGCCACACUGGGACUGGGAUACGGCCCAGACUCCUACGGUAGGCAGCAGUGGGGAUUAUUGCACAAUGGGCGCAAGCCUGAUGCAGCGACGCCGCGUGAGGGAUGACGGCCUUCGGGUUGUAAACCUCUUUCAGCAGGGACGAAGCGCAAGUGACGGUACCUGUAGAAGAAGGACCGGCCAACUACGUGCCAGCCGCCGCGGUAAAAC
rnacentral:rRNA from 1 species